rnacentral:rRNA from 1 species
UAGCAUAUCAAUAAGCGGAGGAAAAGAAACCAACAGGGAUUGCCCCAGUAACGGCGAGUGAAGCGGCAACAGCUCAAAUUUGAAAUCUGGCCUCGUGCCCGAGUUGUAAUUUGUAGAGGAUGCUUUUGGCGACGCGCCUUCCGAGUUCCCUGGAACGGGACGCCAUAGAGGGUGAGAGCCCCGUCCGGUCGUGCGCCUAGCCUCUGUAAAGCUCCUUCGACGAGUCGAGUAGUUUGGGAAUGCUGCUCUAAAUGGGAGGUAUACGUCUUCUAAAGCUAAAUACCGGCCAGAGACCGAUAGCGCACAAGUAGAGUGAUCGAAAGAUGAAAAGCACUUUGAAAAGAGGGUUAAAUAGUACGUGAAAUUGCUGAAAGGGAAGCGCUUAUGACCAGACUUGGGCGCGGCGGAUCAUCCGGCGUUCUCGCCGGUGCACUCCACCGCCCCAGGCCAGCAUCAGUUCGCGCCGGGGGACAAAGGCUUCGGGAAUGUGGCUCCCUCGGGAGUGUUAUAGCCCGCUGCGUAAUACCCUGGCGCGGACUGAGGUCCGCGCUCUGCAAGGAUGCUGGCGUAAUGGUCAUCAGUGACCCGUCUUGAAACACGGACCAAGGAGUCGUCUUCGUAUGCGAGUGUUCGGGUGUCAAACCCCUACGCGGAAUGAAAGUGAACGUAGGAGAGAGCUUCGGCGCAUCUCCGACCGAUCCUGAUGUUCUCGGAUGGAUUUGAGUAAGAGCAUACGGGGCCGGACCCGAAAGAAGGUGAACUAUGCCUGUGUAGGGUGAAGCCAGAGGAAACUCUGGUGGAGGCUCGCAGCGGUUCUGAACGUGCAAAUCGAUCGUCAAACAUGGGCAUGGGGGCGAAAGACUAAUCGAACCUUCUAGUAGCUGGUUUCCGCGAU